rnacentral:piRNA from 1 species
UGGGUUGCUAGGACAUAGGCUUGGACCCGU